rnacentral:lncRNA from 1 species
CAAGCAAUCCACCUGCCUUGGCCUCCCAAAGUGCUGGGAUUACAGGAGCGAGCCACCAUGCCCCGCCCACUUACAAUUUUAUAUGCCAGAGAAUUAUCAGAAUUUUCCAGAGACUAACUUCUCGCUCUGCACAUUUUGAGCCUGGUUUUCCUCCCUACCCACAUGCCUCUGCUGCUAGGCUCUGUGGGACACAUUAGCAUCACCGUGUCCUGCCCUGCAGCACAGUGGACCCCGGAGUCCUAGGAGCUGCUUCCACACAAGCAUGACCAGCUGUAACCGAAAUCGGCAGGGAAGUGAACAAACCACAUGGACAUUCCCACACUAAACCCAAACUAAGUGUGUCUCCAACUCAACUUCCUGUUAGCUGGAUCCCCAAAUGCCCAUGGCCACCUCAGUGCCACUAACAUAAGGAAACAGAUGGCAUCUUAACCAGUUGUGGUUAAAAUAUCUUACUUUUGCAAACUUGACUAAAGCACCGCAUGAACACAGUGUGAGGGCCCCUCUCAGACACCUGGAAGGGGCAUGGCACCUGAGGACUCUACCUUCACAGUGAAUCCACCUCUGCCUCUAGGACACCGGUUAUGGAUGUGUUGGCCACAGUGAAACCACUGCUUAAAAUGAGGUAGCUGACAGUUACAUAGCACCUACAAAGGGAAAUGCUUUGUAUGUUAUUAAGUUAUUUAAUCCUUAUAACAACCCUAAGAUGUUGGUGUUAUGAUAAUCAUCAUUUUAUAGAUAGAGAAAGCCAGCUAACUUGCCCAGGGUCACACAUGUAGUAAGUGUUGGACCUGGAAUUUGAACCCAGGCAGCUUGGCUUAAGCUAGCACCUCAUACACUUUCCAUAGCAGCCCCACAGCCUCCACCACCAUUCCAGGACUCUACAUUCUUACCUAUGACCUUCUACCAUAGCACACAUUUUACUGAUUUGCCUAUCAUCUAUCCCUUGUUACUAAAAUAUAGACUAUGAGGACAGAGCUGUUUGUUUUGUUCACUGCUGAAUCACCAACACCUACAACAGUGCUUGGCACAUCAUAGGAUUUUUUUUCCCUAGCUGGUUUUAGGUCAACGACAAUAAAACGUGAAUUCUGGAGAUUCAAAACCUCAAAUCUUCAACUUUUCACCUCGCACUUUUAUUCCUGGGACAAAAACUUGCUCAGCACAUCUCUUCCUAAAUUCCAAGACAGGCUGCUUGUUCUGUUCAGUCAAGAAUGCCAACCCAAGAAACAUUUUUGAAAGAUCACAGUCAACGUCAUUGCCAAAAGAAGAAGCUCUUGGCACACAAAGAACCUGGUUCAAUAUGAGAUGCCAGAUGGUGAUUUCAACUUCAGCUAAAUUCCUGCUGAGAAGUAUUUGAACUGCAGAUGAGAAAAUCUUCUGUGACAAAUUUCCAAGUGUUAGAAGCUUCAGAGGAAAAUGGCAAGUGUUGAUACCCUCUCUCCCCGCAACCACCACCACCAACCACAUGCACACAUACCAUGGAACAUACCUGCAUCUGGUAGCUAAGAUUCCAACAGAUGCCUCUGCCUUUUAAAAAGCCUAUGGACCCUGAUUUGAUUUUUACUAAAAGUAUAUUAACUGAGUCCAUUGGAAGCAAAUACCAUUUGAUUAAUAUGCAGUGCUUUUUCAAAGGGUGCGUUCCCUUAGCAUCGGAGAUAACUCUUUCCUGUCUUCCAAUAAUUCUGUUGUUAAUUGAUAAUUAAUUGAUAGUCAACUGAUACUCAGUGUAUCUCCCCUCCCUAGAUACUUUCAAAUUCCAGGAGAUACAUGUGAGGCAUAAAUUGAUGGUGCUCUGCCUGGAUGACCUUGAAUCUCUUUUGCUGGUUCUGUGUGCCCACACCCCAGCUUCAGUGUAUUUUGCUUUCUAAUGAUUAGCUUCUGCAACUAUCUUCAGAGGGUUGCCCUUGAACUACUGAAUUUCACCUGUUUGCACAGAGAACUGAAAGUGCCUGGGAGCUUACUGUGGCCCUGAGAUGCCCACAGCCAAUGAGUCACUGGUACAGGAAAUUGAAAGCCCAGCUCCCCCGAAUCAAGUCUGGGAAAAUUCUGAGGUGUAAUAUAUGCUCCAGAGCUCCAGUCAGCAAUAGGCUGAGACUGGGACUCUGCCUGAAUAACACUUGCACUUGGCUUUUUCCCUCCUUCUUUCCCUGUGUUGCUCCUGCCUCCCCACAUACCCCCUUGGAGGUCUCUCCUGUAACACAUCUUUCAUAUAACUCAUGUACAAAUUCUCGUCUUGGGAUCUGCUUCUGGGAAACUGACCUGUGAUGAUUCUGGGCAAUGGAAAAGUUCGAGUAUCCUGCUAAUAAAGAAAACAGAAAUUCUUUCUAGAACAAGGAACAUAUGCGUGCCUACUUUAUCAAUCAAAGUCUCAGAAGGAAAUAGUGGAUAAAGUCAAAGUAGGUAUUUGGAGAAAGAGUAGUAAUAAAGGGACUAUUUCCAAAGGUGUGGACUGGGUUCAGAGAGACAAGGAUAAGUGCCCACCUGGAAGCUAGGACCAGGAUGUGCCAUUGCCAACUCUAGGCCUCACUGGUAAAAGGAGAGUGUGGCUUUGCAAGCUGGUGACAGAAAUGUGUGGAGAGGCUGUGAGACAGGAGCUGUGACUUUACAGGUUGCAGCCAGCCUGCAGAGACCCUGCAAGGAGUUAGCACCAACCUUAUGCUCCAUCUUGCCUCCAAUCUUGUCAGCGCUACCCCAUCAGCUGAACAUAAUGGGAACUAGGGCUUGAGGGAGCCUGUUAAUGUAGUACAUCUAGGGUUAGCCUCUUGGGGCACACAGCAGGUGGAGAAGAGUAGGGAGAGGAUCUGAAGGGACAAACAGAAGCUUUCCAGCAGCACACUUGCCUACCUAUCUUACACACACACAGUUUGGCUGGUUCUUGAUCUUGACCUGUGACCAGAUACACCUAAAUAAACACUACUUUUCUCUCUGCUGACCUUGUCUCCUUCUAUAUUAUUUGUUUGCACAUUGAGGGACCCAGAGAUAGGCUGCAUGAUGUGUGAGAAGGGGACAUCAAAAAUCAAGUGACAAAAUACAUUUUUAUUUAAGUCUGAGUAUGGCAUUUGGGUAUCAGGAUAGCCCCAGCACUUCAGCCUCUAAGACAUUUUAUGUAGAGUGAAAC